rnacentral:rRNA from 1 species
GAUGAACGCUGGCGGCGUGCUUAACACAUGCAAGUCGAACGAAGCACUUUAUUUGAUUUCCUUCGGGACUGAUUAUUUUGUGACUUAGUGGCGGACGGGUGAGUAACGCGUGGGUAACCUGCCUUGUACAGGGGGAUAACAGUUGGAAACGGCUGCUAAUACCGCAUAAGCGCACGGCAUCGCAUGAUGCAGUGUGAAAAACUCGGGUGGGAUAAGAUGGACCCGCGUUGGAUUAGCUAGUUGGUGAGGUAACGGCCCACCAAGGCGACGAUCCAUAGCCGAGCUGAGAGGGUGACCGGCGACAUUGGGACUGAGACACGGUCCGAACUCCUACGGGAGGGAGCAGUGGGGAAUAUUGCACAAUGGGCGAAAGCAUGAUGCCGCGACGCCGCGUGAGCGAAGAAGUAUUUCGGUAUGUAAAGCUCUAUCAGCAGGGAAGAUACUGACGGUACCUGACGAAGAAGCACCGGCUAAAUUCGUG